AAUAUCCAUACCAAUUUCUGUUCCAUUUGUCCAAAUAAUAUCGAAUUAAUUUUCCAAUUUCCAUUCUCCAGCUCCACUCCGGUCUGUCCCAACCCAGUGCAUUAUUCCUGAAAUCUCACAAAAUCAGCGACCGGCAACGACCGAGCGAGUGGCGACCAACUAAGUGGAACAAACGAGAAUGUGCUAUGAUAAUCAAGAUGAGGAACGAUCGACGGACGAUGAGGAGAGACGAAAUCAGACUGACGGAGACCAGGCGACGAACGGAAAGGACGACCGACCAACCGACGACGACGAGAACAAUAUCUGACCGAAAAUCGAACAGAAAUUGGAAGAGGAAUCAAGAGAUGUUGUUCUCAUUUUUGCAAACAAGCAGGUACUUGAAGAUACAAGUCAAGCAUGAAACACUAGAUAUACAUGGAUUCUUAUGUUACUUGUAACAAUAUUUAAUUUUUACUGUAGGAAGAGAUUAUCAUAAUAGGAAAUUUAACCUGUGAAUCUUGAUUGUGCUCUAAAAUACUACAAUGAUGUUUCUACAGAGCAUAAACUUUGCUGUCCAUCCAUCAUUACAAGGGGGUUCUCACAAAAAUCGCAUUGCUGCUCUUGCAUAGCCUUGAAACAAGUGGCAACUCCAAAGGACAAAGUAUAGAUGCUGCAGGUGAAUGAAAAUGCGCUGGCCCUAGCAUCUGCUUUAUUGAGAAGAAAAUGCAAAUUGGUGACUGGGGGCACUGACAACCAUUUGUUGAUGUGGGAUCUGACUACUUGAGGCUUAAGAGUGCUCUUGAAUUGGCUGCUGUUUACUGCUUUUGUUGCCCUCCUCCCGCUUGUCUUUGGAGCCUUUGUGUCUGGUAGUUCUCUUUUCCCAAUUUGCCUGGAGCCCUGCUCUCUCAUUCCUCUGCUCUGGAAGUUCAGUCUGCUGCUUUCUGUCUUGCAUGCUAUGCUUGCCUGUCACCUGGUGUGCCCAAUGGUGGUUUCAUGGUCUGCACUCGUGGCUGCUCUCCUUACCAGGAGGUCUUUGUUUUCCUCUUGCUGCCUGUUUUGGAGUUUUGGCUUCCAAUUGGUCUAUGGGAUGCCUCCCGCUUUUGGGUGUUCUUUCUUCUUGGGAUGUUGGGUUUCCUGUAUUUUCCUGCUGUCUUUUUUGGUUUUGGGAUGUCUGUGUCUGUUGCUGAUUUAUUUGGCUUGCUUUGGUCUUCAUUUUCCUUUCCUUUGGCUUGCUUUCUCUUGAUCCUGUCUUUGGCCUGCUUUUGCUGGUUUUCAAAAGAGAAUCAAGUUUGCCUUGUUGAUCAUAUUUUUCUCCACUGUCUUUGCCGCUUGUGAUUUAGGCAAGCUUUGAUUGUACAAAUCUCUUUGCCCUUUUUGUUUGUCUAUGCAUACUUAACAAAAGAAAAAAACAAAAAAAGAAAUAGGCAUUGCCAAGUAGUGCCAUUCUUGCAAGUGUUAGAUACUAGCUUGUCAAA